GACGAACGCUGGCGGCGUGCUUAACACAUGCAAGUCGAACGGAAAGGCCCUGCUUUUGUGGGGUGCUCGAGUGGCGAACGGGUGAGUAACACGUGAGUAACCUGCCCUUGACUUUGGGAUAACUUCAGGAAACUGGGGCUAAUACCGGAUAGGAGCUCCUGCUGCAUGGUGGGGGGUGGAAAGUUUCGGCGGUUGGGGAUGGACUCGCGGCUUAUCAGCCUGUUGGUGGGGUAGUGGCUUACCAAGGCUUUGACGGGGAGCCGGCCUGAGAGGGGAACCGGCCACAGUGGGACUGAGUUACGGCCCAGACUCCGACGGGAGGCACCAGUGGGGAAAAUGGCACAAUGGGCGGAAGCCUGAUGCAGCAGCCCCGCGUGCGGGAUGACGGCCUUCGGGUUGUAAACCGCUUUCGCCUGUGACGAAGCGUGAGUGACGGUAAUGGGUAAAGAAGCACCGGCUAACUACGUG
rnacentral:rRNA from 1 species